rnacentral:lncRNA from 1 species
GGGGAGGAGGAAGAAAAGGAGGAAGAGGAAGAAGAAGGAGGAGGAUGAAAGAAAAUAACAUUAUAGAUAUUUGAAAAGUUGUAAGGAAGAAUAAUAUUAGUUAUAUACAUUAAAACCUGUAAUAUACAUAAGUCUGUAUAUAAAUAUACACACAUGAUAUUCCCUUAUUUGGGUAGAAAAUGCUUCCUCUGAGAGCUAAACAGGAACAAACUAAUAAAAACCCCAAGGCUAGGCAUAAAAAGCCCUCUUUUGAGUUGCUGCUCAAGAGAAUACCCAAACAUUACAAUUAUUGCUACUGGUAUUUGGUUGUCCCUCCAGAAGUGAACGGUUAGUACUUAUUGUUGAAGACACUGUGCACUUCAGGCAUCGUGUCCAAAGGACUCUGAACUGGAACUCAACUGAAUACCCUCUUUUUGAGGACUAGAUUUCAUGAUCCCAGAAAGUGUCAUGCAAGCUUCUAAGGGAGGGGAGCAAUCAACAGUCCCAUCUAGCAUGACACUGCAGCACUGACCAGCAUGCCAUAUCUUGAACUUUUGUUUUUCUUUUCUUUGAUAUUCUACCAGGAAAACCUUAAAAAGCUAACCCCAAGGCUUGGAUAACCCCAAGGCUGUAGUAGCAGCACACAGUAGCAGCAGUAACUGAUCCCAAGACGUGUUCAACAAGAGGAAAGCAGAUACUUAAGGCUAAUGCCAAGCUAAUCCUGAGCAAAGCCUAGUAUUAUACUCUACUCAAUCUUUGUGCUAAUCCAAUCAAGAGCUCUGAAAAUGUCUUGGAAUUUUGCCAUGGGGAUCAGGAUGAUCAAAUUAUUGGAAACAAAUACUCCUCAGCAAUAAACAAAUGGAUAACAUUUCAUAAAAAUGUAGAAAUUACACACAUGUAACAUACUUCCCUAUAUUUGUAUAUUGUGAGGAGCAGGUGUGGCAGCAGUCCCAAGAUGGCGCCCAGAACUGUAGCCAAGUUUUAUGACUUUCACCUUCUUCCUCAUACACCUGAAAAUAAGCCACAUCCAUCGUGAGAACUGCACAAGUGCACCAUGAUGCAAGAUUGGACCAUAUGACGAGUGAUGAUUCUGGCCAAUGGACUGCUGUUACAUGGACUGGGCUGAUGGGGCAUGGUUGAGAGGAUAUAUAAGGAAUUGCGAUUGGGGUCGGGUUGGUUGGUGUUGUUUUUUCCUGGAGAGAUUGAUUUCUGGAGAGAGAUUCAUGCAUGAUGUUGAAAGGUUCCAGAAUAAACU